CAAUUUACUCAAUGUCAAUUUAUUGUGGAUGUUUUUUAAUUUAAAUUGAAUCAUCCCCCACUAUGAGUAUAAAUUGAAAUAGCAUUUCAUAUUCUGCAAUUGAAAUUUCAUGGAGCAGUCGUUGGAGGUGGAAAAAUGAAAAUGGAAAAUUUACAAGGCCUGCCGAUUCUUUAGACAGGAUGGGCGUUGACAGGUAUCCGGAUAGGCUUGUGCGACCGCUUGAAACAAGUAAAUAUUGUCAGCGGAGAAGUAUCGCGGUUCAUUCCCCAAAGAGCGUCACUCUAACGGCAAAGAUGUUUUUCUCAGAAUACCAUUGAAGAUACUCAGCAUCUGAAUAUUGAUUACCGGACCGAUAACCCGAGAGGUUCCAUACAUAAUUCAAUCUGCCAAUGAGUCAACUGCAUCUCGAUGUAAACACAUCGUAGUGCUACGAGAAAUUAUUAAAAAUCAAAUGUAAAAAUCUCGAUUAAAG